CCUACGGGUGGCAGCAGUGGGGAAUAUUGGGCAAUGGAGGCAACUCUGACCCAGCAACGCCGCGUGAAUGAUGAAGGUCUUCGGAUUGUAAAGUUCUUUUCUAAGGGAAGAAGAAAGUGACGGUACCUUAGGAAUCAGCCUCGGCUAACUACGUAGCAGCAGCCGCGGUAAUACGUAGGAGGCAAGCGUUAUCCGGAAUGACUGGGCGUAACGGGUGCGUUGGUGGUUUGACAAGGUAGUAGCGCAACUCCGGAGCUCAACUUCGGUACUACUACUAAAACUGUUGGACUUGAGUGCAGGAGGGGCAAGCGGAAUGCGUGGUGUAGCGGUGGAAUGCGUAGAUAUUAGGAAGAACACCAGUGGCGAAGGCAGAUUGCUGGACUGUAACUGACGCUGAGGCACGAAAGCGUGGGGAGCAAACAGGAUUAGAUACCCUUGUAGUC
rnacentral:rRNA from 1 species